GCAAAGCGUGUUUCUGGAAUAUUAUGUUUUUGUUCCUGCAAGCGCUUUUUAUGCAAUUUUUGGAAAGCUAUAUGUGGAAGGAAACCGUGAACUAGGACAAGCUGAUGACAGAAGAUUCAGUGUUACACAGGGUCUGAGUGAAAAAGUGUUCAGCUGCUGUGACUUGAAGGCCUACAAUCCGGUCAACGUUAUAUGCUGCCAGUCAACCAUAAUAGCGACACCUGGACCAAAGGCUGAAUGUUGUGGUAAAGCUCAAUCAUGUGGAACUAAUACUUUCAACAAAGAAACACAUCUAUGCUGUCAGUUAACUGUUAUUGCCAAACCUUCACCAAAGCACAGAUGUUGUGAAAAGGGACCACAUGAUGAGUAAAAGAAGCUGUGUUGUGGUCCGAUGAAUGAUAAGAAGAUCCUGAAGAGGAACUCCACAGAUCAUGUGUGCUGUCAUCAUGGCCAGCAGCUAGGCUGACUGCUGCUGUUGGAAGAAUGAUGGUGCUGAGAUACAGCUGAAGAAUUCAUCUUGCUGUGUAGAAGAAUCAGCUGUACUUGAAGAGUGGGAAAACAAUUCUUAUCAGUAAAUUGCAAAGGAUGGGAAAAUAUGCAGGCUCUCACUGGUCGAUAUCACACAGGAUAUGGUGUUUUGGCAAAGGAAUUUUUGCAGCUUCACCCUAGCUGAUGUCAAAGCAAGUCAAAACCCAUAGUGCAUAACCCACAUACAUAUGUGUGCUGUGAUGGAUGUCUAAGUGGAAACCUUUGAUCAAUCAAACUUCUCCCACAACUCCACCCAGUGCUUCCUUCACAAGUUCUCUGAUGACUCUGCAAAGGUCAGCCUGAUCACUGACGGGGAGAACUGACCCAAGACUUUGUGCACUGGUGCCAGCAGAACCACCUGGUAUACUUCCGCAGGCACAAACAUCCUCCACUGCAACCACUAAACAUUUAAGGUAUGGACAUUGAGGCUGUGGACAGCUACA
ensembl:lncRNA